rnacentral:rRNA from 1 species
GAUGAACGCUAGCGGGAGGCCUAACACAUGCAAGCCGAGCGGUAUUGUUUCUUCGGAAAUGAGAGAGCGGCGUACGGGUGCGGAACACGUGUGCAACCUGCCUUUAUCUGGGGGAUAGCCUUUCGAAAGGAAGAUUAAUACUCCAUAAUAUAUUAAUUGGUAUCAAUUGAUAUUGAAAGCUCCGGCGGAUAGAGAUGGGCACGCGCAAGAUUAGCUAGUUGGUGAGGUAACGGCUCACCAAGGCGAUGAUCUUUAGGGGGCCUGAGAGGGUGAUCCCCCACACUGGUACUGAGACACGGACCAGACUCCUACGGGAGGCAGCAGUGAGGAAUAUUGGUCAAUGGGUGCAAGCCUGAACCAGCCAUCCCGCGUGAAGGAUUAAGGUCCUAUGGAUUGUAAACUUCUUUUGUAUAGGGAUAAACCUACCCUCGUGAGGGUAGCUGAAGGUACUAUACGAAUAAGCACCGGCUAACUCCGUGCCAGCCGCCGCAGUAAGAC